CAUAUUAUCCUCGGUGAACGCUUGGCCAUUGACAAUCUUAAAGUUUUCCUCAUCUGCUCCACCAAAACCAUGGAAAGGGGUAUUCGCAAGCCGAAUGAAUGCAUGCAGGCAAAAAUGGAGAAUGUUUUGUAUCUUAUCUACUUACCGCCGUCGAACCCCAUCUUAGAAAUUUAGGAAGAUUUUGUUGUUACUUUUGCCAGCUGCUGCCAGUUGUAUUAAGAUAUGUUUAUUCAGGUAGUAAACCAAAUCAGAGUUGCCAAGUAAAAUUAAUGGCUGAAGCUAGGUAUGCACCUCUAACGAAAUUUCUUUUGCAACCAAAACGUUACAAAAAAAGGAUACUACACGAUGGCGACAAAUAUCAAUUUAUAUUUUGACUUAUUUUUAAUCAUUUUUCGGCUUAUAAAGUACAUAUGUACUGAUAUUAACCAUUUUAAAUUGCAUAUAAAAUUAUUUCAUGUUGCAUAGAGCUAUUAAAACAUACAUUUUCAUUCCUAGUUGCAAACAAAAGUUCCAAUCCAAUGCCUGUUGGCAACGCAAAGAAAAUUUCAUUUUAGAUCCGUACCUGCGAAAUAAUUUAGUACAUUGCGCCUUAUGAUACAAUUAAGAGGUAGCGUCAUUAGCACAACAACAAUAAACAACCCCAACGAAUCUACCUUGAGUGGCAAAUGCCGU